GACAGCACAAAAGGCGGACAAAACUAAUCAGCUCAAUGUUAUUGUUGUUUGGUGCGGUUGAGUUGGAAGUGUUUUCGCGGUAGAUUUUGUGUUAAAAUGAAAUUUUUAGUUGUUGUCCAAUCAGCUGUUUAUUUCGCGAGACUGUUGGACAACAGUAGAUGGCUGCGGAUAAGAAAGGGAAAGGUUCCGCACAACAAUUUUGUUUCAUCCAGGUUUGGAUGGCCAAUUGCGAUUUUAAUCGGUUCUUCUCUCGCUUAAACAAGUGAUGAAAGGUGUUUCAGGUAGAAUACGAUCGGUCUGGAGAGAUGUAAACAAACCUUGUGGAACGAUUGCUGUCGAUGUUGAACUGAAAAAAUAGAGCCGCUGAGAGAGGACAGAUGGAAUCUGUACCAACGACACCAGCAGCAAUCAAUGUUAAUUCCUAUGCAAUAAGGCUCAUUUGUCUGGCAAUAACCCGGGUUAGGAGGAUUACGAGAAAGCCUUCCGGUUUGAUUGUAGCAGUUGCACCGCCGGCUGCUUCAGAUGGUUCGGCAUUCAUGCUGGCAGCAGGAAUGUUGAGCUUCGUCGGCAACUAUGACGUCUAGCGGCGGCAGCCGGAACCUCUUUCGCGGUGGCAACCUCAUCCGGAACAGCGUCCUUCUUCUGGGUCUCCUCAUCGGUUGAAGUAUUUGGUGCCAUUGUCCCGGCUUGAACGGCAGAAACUGGUAUUCUCGGCGGCUUUUAUGCGGCGUGUCAGAACGUGGUCCGAAAAUAUUCUGCAAACUCCCUCGUAGGUUUUUACGGAGUCCGGAAGAAAGCUGCUGGUCCUCAGCUGUACGAGAGUUGGAGGAGGAACAGGAACGGGAAACACAAAAAAGAACAUGUAUGUUUUUGUUUAUACUCGGCAGUCUUUGCCAAUUUUAAUCCAAAAUUUUAUGCUGGGUCUUGUAUAUAAGUUUACUUACAGCAUUAUUCAGUAACAUUCACUUAUAGAGAAAUAUAAAAUUGAAAUUAA